rnacentral:rRNA from 1 species
UACGUAGGGUGCGAGCGUUGUCCGGAAUUAUUGGGCGUAAAGAGCUCGUAGGCGGUGUGUCACGUCGGCCGUGAAAACCUGCAGCUUAACUGUGGGCGUGCGGUCGAUACGGGCAUCACUGGAGUUCGGCAGGGGAGACUGGAAUUCCUGGUGUAGCGGUGAAAUGCGCAGAUAUCAGGAGGAACACCGGUGGCGAAGGCGGGUCUCUGGGCAGUAACUGACGCUGAGGAGCGAAAGCGUGGGGGAGCGAACAGGAUUAGAACG